GAUGAACGCUGGCGGCGUGCCUAAUACAUGCAAGUCGAGCGAACAGACGAGGAGCUUGCUCCUCUGACGUUAGCGGCGGACGGGUGAGUAACACGUGGAUAACCUACCUAUAAGACUGGGAUAACUUCGGGAAACCGGAGCUAAUACCGGAUAAUAUAUUGAACCGCAUGGUUCAAUAGUGAAAGACGGUUUUGCUGUCACUUAUAGAUGGAUCCGCGCCGCAUUAGCUAGUUGGUAAGGUAACGGCUUACCAAGGCAACGAUGCGUAGCCGACCUGAGAGGGUGAUCGGACAAAAUGGAACUGAGAAACGGUCCAGACUCCUACGGGAGGCAGCAGUAGGGAAUCUUCCGCAAUGGGCGAAAGCUUGACGGAGCAACGCCGCGUGAGUGAUGAAGGUCUUCGGAUCGUAAAACUCUGUUAUUAGGGAAGAACAAAUGGGUAAGUAACUAUGCACGUCUUGACGGUACCUAAUCAGAAAGCCACGGCUAACUACGUG
rnacentral:rRNA from 1 species